UUUUCGGAGAGUUUGAUCCUGGCUCAGGACGAACGCUGGCGGCGUGCCUAAUACAUGCAAGUCGAGCGGACAGAAGGGAGCUUGCUCCCGGAUGUUAGCGGCGGACGGGUGAGUAACACGUGGGUAACCUGCCUGUAAGACUGGGAUAACUCCGGGAAACCGGAGCUAAUACCGGAU
rnacentral:rRNA from 1 species